rnacentral:rRNA from 1 species
GGAAUAGACGGGGACCCGCACAAGCGGUGGAGCAUGUGGUUUAAUUCGACCGAACGCGAAGAACCUUACCUGGCCUUGACAUAGAAAGAACUUACUAGAGAUAGUUUGUUGCUAGCUUGCUAGAACUUUCAUACAGGUGCUGCACGGCUGUCGUCAGCUCGUGUCGUGAGAUGUUGGGUUAAGUCCCGCAACGAGCGCAACCCUCGUGUUUAGUUACUAACAGUUCGGCUGAGGACUCUAGACAGACUGCCUGGGUAACCAGGAGGAAGGUGAGGACGACGUCAAGUCAUCAUGGCCCUUACGGCCAGGGCUACACACGUGCUACAAUGGGGUAUACAAAGAGCCGCAAUACCGCGAGGUGGAGCAAAUCUCAUAAAAUAUCUCCCAGUUCGGAUUGAAGUCUGCAACUCGACUUCAUGAAGUUGGAAUCGCUAGUAAUCGUGAAUCAGCAAUGUCACGGUGAAUACGUUCCCGGGUGUUGUACUCACC